GCAUUGGUGGUUCAGUGAUAGAAUUCUUGCCUUCCAUGCUGGAGAUCUGGGUUCCAUUCCUAGCCAGUGCA
rnacentral:tRNA from 1 species